GGCUCCGUGGCGCAAUGGAUAGCGCAUUGGACUUCUAGUCAAGCUCUGUGAGGAGAGAUUCAAAGGUUGUGGGUUCGAGUCCCACCGGAGUCG
rnacentral:tRNA from 1 species